rnacentral:lncRNA from 10 species
UCACCAUUCUGUAGCUCCUAAUGAAUCAGUGAAUCUGGGCAAUGGUCAUCAAUAGCUGUGAAUAACACAAAAUGGCUCUCCUGAUGAAAGUACACAGAAGAUACAGAGGACAGAGGAACAUGCUAAAUGACACCAGGGAAAUCGGUCAUCAAAAUCCAGACUGUGAGAAAGUCUAUAGGUCAAGUCAUCUAGUUUCUUCAUCCAAUACAUUGCAAGGGGGGAAAAAAGAAGGGGAAUCUAUCAAGUAAAAAAGACUUAAGAGACAUAGCCAUCAACUGAAGCUGGAGCUUAUUAGGCUGUUGAUUUAAUCACACAAAUUUUUAAAAAUAUUAUUAAUUUUGUUAGGUGUGACAAUUGCAUUGUGGGUAUGUUUUCAGAGAUACUGAAAUAUUUAUGGAUGAAAUGAAUAUGAAUAUUUAUUAAUAAAAUAAAAGGAUCCAUUUUAAAAUAAUUGCGAGGAAGAGAAGUGGACAAGAAGAUAGAUGUGGAGAGCUAUAUGUAUAAACAAAAAAAUUCUUAUGUGUGAUACAAUCCCAAAUACUGUAUACUCAUGAAAAGAUAAAGAAAAAUAGACAUAGAUCUGGACCCAGAAUAAAAGAUAAACUUGGCUUUCUUGGGUAGAUCCCAUCAAGAUGGCUUGAACAUCCUUACUUUCCAUUGUACCCAUGUAGUUCAUGAGAAGCUCUAGCAUCCUUACCACCCCAAAAGUACAGAUUGUUCCGAUUUCUGCUCUCCUUGCCUUCUAUAGCAAAUUACUUCAGCCCGCCUCCUGCUUUUUGUAGUCACCAGCUGGUAAGCAGACCCUAGUCUCUGUUUCACUCUUCUUUCAUUCCCACAUCCAAUCAAGCCCCAAAUCAUUCUGUUUUUAAUUCCUAAGCAUUUCUCAAAUAUCUUUCUUCCUUUCUUUGCCACCAUUUUAUUGGUUCAGUCUUUCAUCUAUUUUCCUCCCUGACUUAUCUUGUCCUCUUAAAAUCUAUCCCUGACAUGGCUGCCAGAAUGAUCCAUCAAAAAUGAAAAUUGGAUCACAUUACUACCCUGCAUAAAAUGUGUUGAUAGUUCCUCAGUUGGCAUUGCCAAGUUUCUUAACUUCACCACGUGUACAUGCCAAGCUACAUCUUGGCUGCCUUGAUUUUUGCUGUCCUCCUUCUGUCGGAAAUGUUUUCCA